rnacentral:rRNA from 1 species
UGGGUGAGGAAAGCACUUCGGUGCGCGGCGGGAGGGGCGCGCGGCCCAUCAGGUGGUUGGCGGGGUAACUACCCACCAAGCCGAUGACGGGUCGCUGGUCUGAGAGGACGACCAGCCAGACUGGGACUGCGACACGGCCCAGACACCUACGGGUGGCAGCAGCAAGGAAUCUUCCCCAAGGGGCUCACGCUUGAGGGAGCAACGCCGCGUGGAGGACGACGUC